rnacentral:rRNA from 1 species
UAGAGUUUGAUCCUGGCUCAGGACGAACGCUGGCGGCGCGCCUAACACAUGCAAGUCGAGCGAGAACCUCGGGCUUCGGCCUGGGGGGGAAAGCGGCGAACGGGUGCGUAACACGUGAGCAACCUACCCCGGAGACCGGGAUAACACCGGGAAACUGGUGCUAAUACCGGAUGUCCUCAUCGGACCGCAUGAUCCGAUGAGGAAAUGGUCAGCCGCUCCGGGAUGGGCUCGCGGCCUAUCAGCUUGUUGGUGGGGUAAUGGCCUACCAAGGCAACGACGGGUAGCUGGUCUGAGAGGACGAUCAGCCACACUGGGACUGAGACACGGCCCAGACUCCUACGGGAGGCAGCAGUGGGGAAUCUUGCGCAAUGGGGGAAACCCUGACGCAGCGACGCCGCGUGCGGGAUGAAGGCCUUCGGGUCGUAAACCGCUUUCAGCAGGGACGAAAUUGACGGUACCUGCAGAAGAAGCCCCGGCCAACUACGUGCCAGCCGCCGCGGUAAUUCA